UCAUGGGUGCUGAAAGGCUGAGAUUGCUCGCAAGAGGGAACCAUUUAACCUGAUACGGAUAAUGCCGGCGUAGGGAGAUUGAAUU
rnacentral:ncRNA from 1 species